rnacentral:rRNA from 1 species
GUUUACGGCCAUAUCACGUUGAAAGCACCGGUUCACGUCCGAUCACCGAAGUUAAGCAACGUCGAACCUAGUUAGUACUUAGAUGGGUGAGCGCUUGGGAAACCUAGGUGCUGUAAGCG